GACGAUGGAUCACCAGUGAGUGGCGGACGGGUGAGUAACACGUAGGUAACCUGCCCCGGAGCGGGGGAUAACAUUUGGAAACAGAUGCUAAUACCGCAUAACAACAAAAGCCACAUGGCUUUUGUUUGAAAGAUGGCUUUGGCUAUCACUCUGGGAUGGACCUGCGGUGCAUUAGCUAGUUGGUAAGGUAACGGCUUACCAAGGCGAUGAUGCAUAGCCGAGUUGAGAGACUGAUCGGCCACAAUGGAACUGAGACACGGUCUAUACUCCUACGGGAGGCAGCAGUAGGGAAUCUUCCACAAUGGGCGCAAGCCUGAUGGAGCAACACCGCGUGAGUGAAGAAGGGUUUCGGCUCGUAAAGCUCUGUUGUUGGAGAAGAACGUGCGUGAGAGUAACUGUUCACGCAGUGACGGUAUCCAACCAGAAAGUCACGGCUAACUACGUGCCAGCAGCCGCGGUAAUACGUAGGUGGCAAGCGUUAUCCGGAUUUAUUGGGCGUAAAGCGAGCGCAGGCGGUUGCUUAGGUCUGAUGUGAAAGCCUUCGGCUUAACCGAAGAAGUGCAUCGGAAACCGGGCAACUUGAGUGCAGAAGAGGACAGUGGAACUCCAUGUGUAGCGGUGGAAUGCGUAGAUAUAUGGAAGAACACCAGUGGCGAAGGCGGCUGUCUGGUCUGCAACUGACGCUGAGGCUCGAAAGCAUGGGUAGCGAACAGGAUUAAAAUACCCCUGGUAGUCCAUGCCCGUAAACCGGUGAGUGCUAAGGUGUUGGAAGGGUUUCCGCCC
rnacentral:rRNA from 1 species